rnacentral:tRNA from 1 species
GGAGAGAUGGCCGAGUGGACGAAGGCGGCAGAUUGCUAAUCUGUUGUAUGAUACUUUCAUACCGAGGGUUCGAAUCCCUCUCUCUCC